UACAGAGGGUGCAAGCGUUGUUCGGAAUUACUGGGCGUAAAGCGCGUGUAGGCGGCGGCGUAAGUCGAAUGUGAAAGCCCUUGGCUUAACCAAGGAAGUGCAUUCGAUACUGUGUCGCUUGAGUACCGGAGGGGAUGGCGGAAUUCCUGGUGUAGAGGUGAAAUUCGUAGAUAUCAGGAGGAACACCUGUGGCGAAGGCGGCCUUCUGGACAGUGACUGACGCUGAGACGCGAAAGCGUGGGGAGCAAACAGG
rnacentral:rRNA from 1 species